rnacentral:rRNA from 1 species
UACGGGGGGGGUAAGCGUUGUUCGGAAUUACUGGGCGUAAAGGGCUCGUAGGCGGCCAACUAAGUCAGACGUGAAAUCCCUCGGCUUAACCGGGGAACUGCGUCUGAUACUGGAUGGCUUGAGUUUGGGAGAGGGACGCGGAAUUCCAGGUGUAGCGGUGAAAUUCGUAGAUAUCGGGAGGAACACCAGUGGCGAAGGCGGCUCACUGGGGGUCUUCUGACGCUGAGGAACGAAAGCCAGGGGAGCGAACGGG